CGCUAUCACUCCGUACGGGAGGCAGCAGUAGGGAAUCUCCACAAUGGACGAAAGUCUGAUGGAGCAAACGCCGCGUGAGUGAAGAAGGGUUUCGGCUCGUAAAACUCUGUUGUUAAAGAAGAACAUAUCUGAGAGUAACUGUUCAGGUAUUGACGGUAUUUAACCAGAAAGCCACGGCUAACUACGUGCCAGCAGCCGCGGUAAUACGUAGGUGGCAAGCGUUGUCCGGAUUUAUUGGGCGUAAAGCGAGCGCAGGCGGUUUUUAAGUCUGAUGUGAAAGCCUUCGGCUCAACCGAAGAAGUGCAUCGGAAACUGGGAAACUUGAGUGCAGAAGAGGACAGUGGAACUCCAUGUGUAGCGGUGAAAUGCGUAGAUAUAUGGAAGAACACCAGUGGCGAAGGCGGCUGUCUGGUCUGUAACUGACGCUGAGGCUCGAAAGUAUAGGUAGCAAACAGGAUUAGAUACCCUGGUAG
rnacentral:rRNA from 1 species